rnacentral:rRNA from 1 species
AGUGAACGCUGGCGGUAGGCCUAACACAUGCAAGUCGAACGGCAGCACAGGAGAGCUUGCUCUCUGGGCGGCGAGUGGCGGACGGGUGAGGAAUACAUCGGAAUCUACUCUGUCGUGGGGGAUAACGUAGGGAAACUUACGCUAAUACCGCAUACGACCUACGGGUGAAAGCAGGGGAUCUUCGGACCUUGCGCGAUUGAAUGAGCCGAUGUCGGAUUAGCUAGUUGGUGGGGUAAAGGCCCACCAAGGCGACGAUCCGUAGCUGGUCUGAGAAGAUGAUCAGCCACACUGGAACUGAGACACGGUCCAGACUCCUACGGGAGGCAGCAGUGGGGAAUAUUGGACAAUGGGCGCAAGCCUGAUCCAGCCAUACCGCGUGGGUGAAGAAGGCCUUCGGGUUGUAAAGCCCUUUUGUUGGGAAAGAAAUCCAGCUGGCUAAUACCCGGUUGGGAUGACGGUACCCAAAGAAUAAGCACCGGCUAACUUCGUGCCAGCCGCCGCAGUAA